rfam:Mogibacterium sp. CM50 ctg120007703384, whole genome shotgun sequence.
UGACUCGAUAGAGGUCGCGGAGCUCAAUAGUAUCCUGUAGCUACAGCUUGGGGAAGCUGCUGCUUGAGAAAGGGAAAUCCGCCGAAGGUCAUAUCUACCCCGAGAUAUUUCCUGGGCCGGUGCAUAAUAUGCGCCGAACUGUCACAUCGUAAAAUGUGGAGCGCUAUCAAUGGU